CGGACAGAAGCCCGCUGGCUAGGGUGUUUAGCUGUUAACUAAUUUUUUGUGGGAUCGAGGCCCGCCUGUCUA
rnacentral:tRNA from 1 species